rnacentral:misc_RNA from 1 species
ACCCAGCUUCCAUAGCCAAUGACCAAAAAGCUGAAUUAUAUAAUUCAAAGAAUUGAUUCUACAUAACUCCAAUGAAGAAAUAAAGCAGAAGAAUCAAAUAUGCCAUCAACAUUUCAGUGUUCCAUCUUCACUUUCCAGUAAGCUUAGGACUAUCAUCCAAUUUGGAUGGAUCCAUAUAUCUCCAAAUGAAUCCCAAACUGCUACCCAUGAUAUUCAUGAUUACAGCAGACAUGGCUGGGGGUAAUGCAACCAUUGGAGAAGUGAAAUGGGAUGUUGCUAAGACCACACCUAAGGACGAAUUUUGCAUACCAACCUCAAUUGAUAUAGCUCGCCGUUCUCGUUCUGUAAAUCCACAAAUAGCUGCUGAUAGAUAACCCACAAAGAAACCAGCAAAAUGUAGCAGCAAAACAGAAAGUACUAUAAUUCCCAGAUCUCCAGACACUAUUGAUUGAAUGAAAAGAACUGGAGAGGAACCAGGAGGCAAUGAAGCACCAACCAUUGAGGAUUUAAGACGAACAACAUUUUCUGAGAAGACGCUGCAUGCAAGCAGUGAUGAAGCCAAGACCGCAAAUAGUGGUGCAAAAGGUAUCACAGCUUUCACUGCUGCAGGAAAUUUGCUCUGCAAAUAGGAACCCAACAGAAUUGGAGCUACAACCACCUGAAGGGUGCUGAUGGAAAGUUUAAGAGCAUCCACAGGAACAUAAGUCCCUGCUAGAAUCUUUGUCAACAUAGGAGUGAGAAGGACUGCACCAAGAGUAGUGCACACCGUCAUUGUAAUAGAUAGUGGAACAUCCCCUUGAGCAAUUAAGGUCACCACAUUAGAGGCAGUACCUCCGGGGCAGCAUCCAAGCAAUAUCAGUCCAACUGAAAGAGAAGGUGAAAGUCCCAAGGAUUUGCUAACAAUUGCUCCAAACGUUGGCAUAAUUGUAUACUGAGCAGCGCAUCCAAAUAGUAUAGAGAGAGGCCUUUGCAUAAAUAAACCAAUCAAAUCUUUUAGCUCCAAAGUAAGACCCAUAGCCAACAUGAUGAGUACAAGCGACAAACUAUAUGAAGCUGGUCCUCUCUGCACAAACCAGGCAAAAGUA